AUUGAACGCUGGCGGCAUGCCUUACACAUGCAAGCCGAACGGUAACAGGUCUUCGGAUGCUGACGAGUGGCGAACGGGUGAGUAAUACAUCGGAACGUGCCUAGUAGUGGGGGAUAACUACUCGAAAGAGUGGCUAAUACCGCAUGAGAUCUACGGAUGAAAGCAGGGGAUCGCAAGGCCUUGUGCUACUAGAGCGGCCGAUGGCAGAUUAGGUAGUUGGUGGGAUAAAAGCUUACCAAGCCGACGAUCUGUAGCUGGUCUGAGAGGACGAUCAGCCACACUGGGACUGAGACACGGCCCAGACUCCUACGGGAGGCAGCAGUGGGGAAUUUUGGACAAUGGGCGAAAGCCUGAUUCAGCAAUGCCGCGUGCAGGAUGAAGGCCUUCGGGUUGUAAACUGCUUUUGUACGGAACGAAAAGCCCUGGGUUAAUACCCUGGGGUCAUGACGGUACCGUAAGAAUAAGCACCGGCUAACUACGUGCCAGCAGCCGCCGCAG
rnacentral:rRNA from 1 species